rnacentral:rRNA from 1 species
AGAGAGAGACAUGCGCGCAUAUCAAUAAGCGGAGGAAAAGAAACUAACUAGGAUUCCCUCAGUAACGGCGAGUGAAGCGGGAAGAGCUCAAAUUUGAAAUCUUCAAGGUUCUACCUUGACGAAUUGUAGUUUAAAGAAGUGUUCUCUGUUGGAGUUUUGGUAAAAGUUCUUUGGAAUAGGACAUCAUAGAGGGUGAGAAUCCCGUAUUUGACCAUUAUUUCCAGCUUUGUGAUACACUUUCAAAGAGUCGGAUUGUUUGGGAAUGCAGUCCAAAAUGGGUGGUAAAUUUCAUCUAAAGCUAAAUAUUGGCGAGAGACCGAUAGCGAACAAGUACCGUGAGGGAAAGAUGAAAAGAACUUUGAAAAGAGAGUUAAACAGUACGUGAAAUUGUCAAAAGGGAAGCGUUUGACACCAGUGUUGUUUUCUCGAAAAUCAAUUAAAAAGGCUAGAUUUUGUGUUGUAUUGACUUUAAUCAGCUUGCAUUUCACUCUUUCUUGUCUUUUUUAAUGCACUUUUCGUUUAACAAGUCAACAUCAAUUUCUUUUGUUGUAAAAGGGUCAUUGGAAGGUGGCUUUCUUUUCGGAGAAAGUGUUUAUAGCCUUUGGCCUCUGCAAUCGGAGAGAUUGAGGUCUGCAGCGUAGAUCCUUCGGGGCUAAAUGCAUUUGUGCUAAGUUAUAGCAUUUUAUAGACAACUUGUUGACUAUGAUCAGUCAUGUAGCUUACUCGCUUAUGCUAUUUUACCUACGCUUAGGAUGUUGAUGUGAUACUGCGAGCA